CUCAAGUGAUCAAGAUGUCUAAUCAUGAAAAUGCAUGUGCUCACAUGGCAGAAAAUCUCCAAGGCAUAGAGACUCAGCUGCUAGAAGCAUCACCUCUCAGCAGUGGGAGUAAAAUGAAGGGACUCGUUUCAAGACUGCAGAGCUGAUGCACCACUUAAGAAACACAACUGCCACGGGCCUUGAUCACCUGGCUAGAGUCAUGUCUGUUGACUUUCUCCACCAUGAAGUUACUUGAGGAUCGGGCAGAGGAUUUACA
rnacentral:lncRNA from 1 species